UACGUAGGGGGCGAGCGUUGUCCGGAGUUACUGGGCGUAAAGGGCGUGCAGGCGGUCGGACGCGUUUUGUGUGACAGCGGAUGGCUUACCUAUCCGAGCAUACGAAAGACGGUUGGACUUGAGGACUCGAGAGGGACACGGAAUUCCGGGUGGAGUGGUGAAAUGCGUAGAGAUCCGGAGGAACACCGAAGGCGAAGGCAGUGUCCUGGCGAGUGACUGACGCUGAGGAGCGAAAGCGUGGGGAGCGAACAGG
rnacentral:rRNA from 1 species